rnacentral:rRNA from 1 species
ACGGGUGAGUAAUAUAUCGGAACGUGCCCUAGAGUGGGGGAUAACUAGUCGAAAGACUAGCUAAUACCGCAUACGAUCUACGGAUGAAAGUGGGGGAUCGCAAGACCUCAUGCUCCUGGAGCGGCCGAUAUCUGAUUAGCUAGUUGGUGGGGUAAAAGCCUACCAAGGCAACGAUCAGUAGCUGGUCUGAGAGGACGACCAGCCACACUGGGACUGAGACACGGCCCAGACUCCUACGGGAGGCAGCAGUGGGGAAUUUUGGACAAUGGGGGCAACCCUGAUCCAGCAAUGCCGCGUGAGUGAAGAAGGCCUUCGGGUUGUAAAGCUCUUUUGUCAGGGAAGAAACGGUAGUAGCGAAUAACUAUUGCUAAUGACGGUACCUGAAGAAUAAGCACCGGCUAACUACGUGCCAGCAGCCGCGGUAAUACGUAGGGUGCAAGCGUUAAUCGGAAUUACUGGGCGUAAAGCGUGCGCAGGCGGUUGUGUAAGUCAGAUGUGAAAUCCCCGGGCUCAACCUGGGAAUUGCAUUUGAGACUGCACGGCUAGAGUGUGUCAGAGGGGGGUAGAAUUCCACGUGUAGCA